rnacentral:rRNA from 1 species
CCGUAGGAGUCUGGUCCGUGUCUCAGUACCAGUGUGGGGGAUCUCCCUCUCAGGACCCCUACCUAUCGAUGUCUUGGUAAGCCGUUACCUUACCAACUAACUAAUAGGACGCAUAGCCAUCUUUUACCGAUAAAUCUUUAAUUAAAACUUGAUGCCAAGUCUCAAUACUAUAAGGUAUUAAUCUUCAUUUCUAAAGGCUAUCCCUCUGUAAAAGGUAGGUUCUAUACGCGUUACGCACCCGUGCGCCGGUCGUCAUCUGUAGCAAGCUACAAUGUUACCCCUCGACUUGCAUGUGUUAAGCCUGCCGCUAGCGUUCAUCCUGAGCCAGGAUCAAACUCU